rnacentral:rRNA from 1 species
GCAGUAGCCGCGGUAAAACAGAGGGUGCGAGCGUUAAUCGGAUUUACUGGGCGUAAAGCGUGCGUAGGCGGCUUCUUAAGUCGGAUGUGAAAUCCCUGAGCUUAACUUAGGAAUUGCAUUCGAUACUGGGAAGCUAGAGUAUGGGAGAGGAUGGUAGAAUUCCAGGUGUAGCGGUGAAAUGCGUAGAGAUCUGGAGGAAUACCGAUGGCGAAGGCAGCCAUCUGGCCUAAUACUGACGCUGAGGUACGAAAGCAUGGGGAGCAAACAGGAUUAGAUACCCCUGUAGUCCCUGUCUCUUAUAC